rnacentral:lncRNA from 1 species
GCAAUUUGACAUAUCGUAAACAACCUGUACAAGUCAUCACGUUCGGGACGAAAACCGCAUAAUGUAAAAUUACUCACGUAGGAAGUACGCGUGUGGCUUUGACUUUAUAUUUUUGUUUAUUGUGGCGUUUUAUUUUAUCAGUUCAAGUAAUCUUGUGUCAAGAUGAUUAAACGGGCGUGUCUACUCGUCCUUGUUGGUGUGUUCUUCGCCAGAAGUAAUGGGCAAUGGCCUCUUGGACAAAGCUUUUUUACUGGUAUGAACCAAAUGAUGAAUAACAUGAAUAACAUGGCGGUAAACAUGCAAGUUGCUGGCGAACAACGUCAAGUUUUAAUUGAAGAAGACAUGAGAAGGUCUUGGGAAGGCGUUCCAUUUGGAUCAGGAGGAAGUGUGUUCAUAACUUUUGAUGGUGGAUUAGGAUACGCUUAUAACUCGACGGAUGGUUCAUAUACGCUGUAUUCUUUAAGAUCUGGAAGUCCACCAAGUGGUUAUAUGUACCAUAUAAAUGCACAGGGUGGUACUACCUUUAAUAGUUGGUGAAAUUAUUCUAAUACACAUCGCACCAGAACGGACUGUCUGUAUUCAACUUUGAAGAGGUGUUGAAUUUUUUAUGUUUAGUGUUUGCUCCCGAAAUGCUAUUUAUUAUCAUUGCAAAACAAAUGAGUGUUAAGUGUACCUAAUGUUUAGAAUUUUAUAAGAUUUAUAACAUUGUCACGGAUAUGCAAUCCCGUAAAUGUUUUUAAGACACUUUUAUUUGUUGCAAGACGCGACACAUUAAAUAAGAAGGUAAAAUAUUAAAACGUGUACAAUACUGACCAAGAAAAAGAUGAUAUAUUUGUCAACAUUUUAUCAUUUUGUGACAUAUUUGAUAAAGUAAGUUACAAAGUUUUUAUGUUAUUGACCUCCUUUUAUAAUGAGAAAUCCAUAAACACAAUAAACAGUUUAUGUGAACAUGUUUUUUACAGGGAAUAUAAUGAUUGACAAGAAACAAAUUGUUACAAUUUCUUUUAUUACAUAAAAUUGAUCAUUAUG